rnacentral:tRNA from 1 species
AAGGGAGACCUAAUUCGGGUAGAAGACGAAAAAAUAGUAGUCGAAACCAAGAAUCAAUCCCAAAAGGUCGGAACGAGGUAUGUGGCUUUCAAACUAGGUUCUGGGUUCACAAAAGACCUGAAUCAGGAACAAGGGCUAUUAGCUCAGGUGGUUAGAGCGCACCCCUGAUAAGGGUGAGGUCCCUGGUUCGAGUCCAGGAUGGCCCACCUGCACAGGUGGCAAAAACAAGAGAAACGAGGAAUCAGCACCUUAUCUUACUUACAUAGUAAGAGAGAAUGCUGGCUCUGAGUAAAGAGUCCAGAGGAACCUUGAAAACUGCAUAGAGCUAGGUGAAAAAGCCAAAAAAGAAGACCGCAAGG